CCAGAUGCUUGUAAACAGUUGUGCCUGCAAGUAAGCCAAGAAGCCUUCUCAAAAACAUCGCACGUGGCGAAGCAACUGGCCCCGCCUCCAUCAGCAGAUGCCAACAGCGUUUCAUUUCCUGUUCGUGAGAUCCUUUGGUCAUCAGUGAAAUCUGUGUGAGAUGUAACUACAAACGACAGUGACAAGGAAUUAUCUGAUUUACAUGAUAAGUCACAUGCCAGGAAGUUCUGUUGAUCAGCUCCGCUCUGUAUUUCUCCAUUGUGCUUAAUAAACAGAAAGUGGAGAAGGUAACGAGGAAAAAUCAGAAGCAGCUGCAGUACAAGCAGGAGUGAAGGAGAGCUGAUUUUCCCCCAGCCAGCAGGGAUGUCCCUGCUCAUGUAUUCACAGAAGCUGCUUUGCAGAGCCAGACCACUUUAAUCUACUCAUUCAACCAACACAUCUGCCUACGACACGACAGGCACUGGAAACAAGAUGCAGUAUACGAAUUUGACACAUUCGUCAUCAGAACAUCCCCCAAGGUCCCGGGGCUCCGGACGUAAGAUGUUCCCAACGACCGUGAGAGAGACACCUGCAUCGGUGGCCUGGGUCAGCCCAUCUCAGGCUGCGGCCUCACCGUCCACGUGACCUGCUGGAGGCCCCCAGAUCUCUGGGCUGCCAUAAUGAAAUGACCUGCACGAGCGCCGAGCACACACUGGGAGCUCGGCUCUGAUGGAACCAAAAGCAGAGAGGAGGCCUGGGAUCACCAGGGUAAGGUGUGUGCAGGAGGCGGGCCCAUUCUCUGCAAGCAGCUCUGCCUGCAGGCACUGAAGCCAGCAGUUUAUCUGAAAUGCGAAGGAGAUGACAAAGUGCCCCACCCCCCUGAGAAAGUCCUGCCUUGGUGCCACCUGUUAACUGAUUUCCAGUGAGACAGGACUGCAGUCCGGGGUGGUCGGUCUUCCAGGGCCUGCUUGGUUGGCAUAAGGCUUACUCUGUUGUCUGUAGAACCAGCUCUGCAGUCACAGUGAACGUGGCAAACGGGAGCAUAGGUGAAGCGUUGAGGAUGGUGAGCCAGCGAUUGGUUUCUCUUCUCUCCGUCCCCUGGGAUGAUACAGAGCAGAGAAGCCAAGGCCAAGGCCUCCACGGAUGUGGGUCGGCGAGGGGAGGGAGCCUGGGCUCCUCCUCCCACCUGCUCAAUCGCGAGCAUCAUGCAGGCAGCUGGGGAAGGAGCUGUGUGCUAGGGAAGGAGCAGGUGCAAUCUUUCCUGGCUGGGAACACAGCCGUUGUGCACGCUCUCAAUAAAGUAGGACUCCCAGAAUGUCCCCACGAUCCCAGGGCACCUCAUGCGACGAUGGAGAGCAAAUCCACACUAUGUCAGUUUUCUAGAUGACCUCCGUGGUGAAAAGUUUAGGGUGCAUCUCCUUUAACUACUGAAUCGGGGCAGAGAGCUCUCAGAAAUUACGCUGAAAGCAGAACUUGAGAAUCCAGGCAGAGCAGAAGGAAGGAGGCUUUACUCUGACUGAUGUCCAGAGCCUGGCGCCCUCCACCCAGCUCCUGUUUCUUCUCCCUACGGCCGCUGCUGUGUGAGGUAGAUGCUCGCAGCCGCAGCCAACCGUGCUGGUUUCUUUUCGGUUCCUUCCCUAGAGCCGCUCUAGUAGGAGAAGAGCACCCCGUCUGUGAGCCCUGCCCACCUGCGCACACGUCUCCCUGGCAGCCCCGAGUCCUGUGCAGUUGCUGGUUAUUUUAAUUGAAUGAUAAAGGAUGUGGGUGUGAAUUAAUUCUACAAGCAGGUAGGGCUAAGGGAUGGAUUAUAUGGAGAAGAGAGUCUUUUUAGUGCAAAUUCUAGUCCACUCAGGAUGCAUAACUCGUAGCAGGACCAGUAACCUCAGCAGGGCCGCUUCCUCCUGGAACCUGUGGUCUAUCAGGGACUCCCCUUGACGUCCACAGUAGGAUGGAGACCGUGGACCAGGGAACGAGCUCAGACCCAAAGCCGCGCGCUCGCUGGUUCUUAUCCAUGAAAUAAGCUGCUGCCUCACUUACCUCCAAAACAUCCUUUGAACUCUAAGAGGAGAGAUUUUACUUGUUCUCUCUGGGACUGCUGAGAGCACAAUGCGAGGAUAGGAAAAGUGCACUGGAACAGAAGGGGCAAACCCUCAAGCCCGGAGGUGGGAGAUGGGUCUGCUUCACUUACUGGCCCAGGAUCUUGGCCCCGUCCUUCCUCUGGGUACGCUGGGCUAGACGGGGAGUGAGAGGGCUGUGCGUGCAGAGGCCACGGAUGUUCCUGGAACGGCCUGCACGUGAGGGAGGGAUCCAUGCGGUGAACCAGGAUGGCUGGGCCAGGGAGGCGCCUCCCACCCGAAGGCCGCUUUACAGAUGGGCGAGAAAGUGGAGUCGUGAACUUAUUGUUAAUGUUGUUCUGGCAAACGCUGUGCUGCAGACGCUCCCACCCUCCCACUGCUCCUGCCAGAACGUAUAGUUUGAAAGGACACUUUCAGACCCCUCCUUCCACAGAAUUCACCUCUGGAGACUGAGCCCCAUCCCGAGAAGGCAUGUUCCAGUUAGCAACAGGGAAGCACGCUCACCUGUGUUUCAUUCAUAUGGAAAAUGCGGUGAAACAGAAAUUAAAGUUUUCUCUCACAUCUUCUGUCUCCUGACACCGGUAGACAAGGAGUAACCAUAGUAACAGAUGCCUGGAGAAUGGAGCAGUGGGAGGGGGGUGAGGAAGACCCGGAAAGUGACCGCCCCCCGGCCCUGGGGCCCCGUGUCCUCAGGGAAGUCUCACCUCCCUUCUCUCACCUGGAUUUUGGUGGAAGAUGUUUUCCUCUUUCUCCCAAAAUUACCAGGAAGAGAAAUAGACAGAAAAACCACCUUACAAAUAUAGACUAUACUGAAUACAGAGAGAAAAUGCAGAAGUGAAGCUAUUCCUUACACACACACAAAUUCCCUCAGACUGAGAGAAUCACCUCAGUUUUAAAGAUAGAGUGGAAGUUUGCUUAAAAAAACCCAGCAUUGAUUGCAAGUGUUUCCAAUGACAUCAAAUAAAAAUCAGACCAUUGGGGUCAUUUCAGAAAUAGACCUCUCGCCGUGGUGCUGAGGACAAUGUCAGGUCGCUGAGAGCACCUCGGCCCGAGCCAUCCUGCCUCUCCCGGGCCAGGAGGAGAGGCUCUCCCUGGGGAGAGGCCUUGAGAAACCAUCCUUCCUAAGGGCCCCCCUGUUAUAAACAGGAUUUUUUUUUUUAAUUACAAAAUGUCGGGAAGUACAAUCUACCAAGGAGGCAAGACGUUCCAGGUGGCAGGGAAUGGAUUUGCUCCUCAGAACGAUGUGCCGGAAAGGACAUGAGGUGGGAGGCAGGACUGGCCUCGGGGAUGGUUUUCUGGGGCGCAGGACCAGGUUUCCCGCCACCCCCGAGGCCCUGCCCAGAACUCGGUUGAACUCGAGAAAGUGGAAAACACAGCGUCCCCAGCGAGGCUGCCAGCAGAAGCCAGCGCGCCCUGCGCUGCUUUCCUGAACGUUUGCCCAGGCUGCACUUCCAAGGGCAUUUUGGCCACAAGAACUGCGCUCAGCUUUGGCCUGUUCACCUCGAGUGGACAGAGGAAGCGUCUCAGCCCCAGAUUCUGAGGCCACAGGAGCUGCCAAGAAGGAGGGAGCGUCUGUUCCUGCCUGCAAGAUCAGGCCUUCUGAGUAAAUAUUUGUGUCCUUUGGUUAAUUGCAUAAAGUAUCUUAUCUUUAUCAUGGAGCGGGAGGCAUGCAUGUUUGUUGACUCCUGCUGUCAAUCCAUAGGCAACAGGAAAUGUUGCAAAAUCAUUUUAAAAACUCAGUGAGAAUAGAAUAGAGUGAAACUUUCUCCUAAGGAAUAAAUUGCUAAAUAACUUUUGACCCCUUUAAAAAAUAAUAGAAGAUAAUAAAAGAGGCAAAAGGGAUUGUUCUGUGUAACCAGCAGUGAGUAGGCAGGCAAUUUGAUGAUAAAAGUACAUGCUUGGAACAAUAAAGGAUACUGUUCUUUUAGCAUUUUUUUAAAAAAUUUUCUGGAUGUGAACAGCUAAGAGUUGACCAUUGCUUCUCCAUUCCAAAUCACAUCCCUUAAUAUGGGAAGAGGAUUUCAGACCUUCAUUAUCUACACGUAGCCUACUGAAAAUUAAAGUUUUGGGUUUUUGUUUCUGAAAAACAGAAGUACUCAUUUUAUCUGACUUGAUGAAAAGUGGCAUGAUUGAGCUCAGAGACCUUGAUUACAAUCCUAGCUGUGCAACCGUCAGCAUUUACCUGCCAGCUUUCUUUCACGUUCUGCUUCCUCACUGUAAAUGAAGAGGUAAAGGAACCAAAUUCUCUGUAGCACAAAAAAGUGAUGAGCCGGGUGCAUGGGUAGAUUAAUAAAUAAGAAAACAGUAGAUUAGAUUAAAAUGGUAGGUAGAAUGAUGAUAGAUUCAAUAGAUAGUUGAUAGGGAUAGAUCAUGGACCCAUGGAUAAUAGCUGAUAGAUUAGAUAUAGAGAGAGAUGAUAAAUAGAUGAUAGAUAAUAGGUGACAGACAGAUGAUAGACACAAUGUAACAGACAACAGAUGACAGAGAUAGAUACAUAAUAGACACAUAGAUGAGAGAUGAUAGAGAAAACAGAGAGAUCAUCAAUCAACAGAUAAUAGAUGAUUAGGUAGAUAGAUGAUAGAUAGAUAGACAGGUGUGUUACUUGAGCAACAACAUUCAUUCCUGCUCCAUGGCGUGACCAUAGGUAUUCAUAAGGAAAGAUGUCAGCAACAAUUCAAAUAAGAAGUUUUAAGUCCUCAGUACUAAUCACAGAUGUUAAAGCUGUUAUCCCCAAACAGACCAAUAGUUCUCUUUAAAAUAACUUUUUAUUUUAUUUUAUUUUUUAUUGAAGUGUAGUUGAUUUACAAUGUUGUGUUAGUUUCAGGUGUACAGCAAAGUGGUUCA